AGCAGCCGCGGUAAUUCCAGCUCCAAUAGCGUAUAUUAAAGUUGUUGCAGUUAAAAAGCUCGUAGUUGAAUUUCGGGGUCAGUGCGUUGGUCGUGCCUUCGGUACGUACUAACGUUAUUGAUUCCUACCUUCUGACGAACCGUGAUGUCAUUAAUUUGGUGUUACGGGGAAUCAGGACUGUUACCUUGAAAAAAUUAGAGUGUUUAAAGCAGGCCAAAGCUUGAAUACAUUAGCAUGGAAUAAUGAAAUAGGACGUUUGACCCUAUUUUGUUGGUUUCUAGGAUCGACGUAAUGAUUAAUAGGGAUAGUUGGGGGCAUUAGUAUUCAAUUGUCAGAGGUGAAAUUCUUGGAUUUAUUGAAGACUAACUACUGCGAAAGCAUUUGCCAAGGAUGUUUUCAUUAAUCAAGAACGAAAGUUAGGGGAUCGAAGACGAUCAGAUACCGUCGUAG
rnacentral:rRNA from 1 species